rnacentral:rRNA from 1 species
AGUGAACGCUGGCGGCGUGCCUAACACAUGCAAGUCGAACGGGCUAGUGCUUCGCACUAGUCUCUUUCUGGGGUUGUUACUCUAAGGCUACCUGCUAAAGUUAUUGCUUUAAAGCAGGGGUUUUAGGAGACUUUCCCCGAAAGGGGCCAGUGCGGAGCACUGGCCAGUGGCGAACGGGUGAGUAACACGUGGGUAAUCUACCCUCGAGUGGGGGAAUAAGCUUCCGAAAGGGGGUCUAAUGCCGCAUAACGUUUCAUAACGAUGGUUAUGAAACCAAAGCCCAAAAGGCGCUCGAGGAGGAGCCUGCGUCCUAUCAGCUUGUUGGCAGGGUAAUGGCCUACCAAAGGCUAUGACGGGUAGCCGGCCUGAGAGGGUGUCCGGCCACACUGGAACUGAGACACGGUCCAGACUCCUACGGAGGCAGCAGUGGGAAGUUUUGCGCAAUGGGGAAACCUGACGCAGCGACGCCGCGUGGAGGAGUGACGGCUCGGUUGUAACGUACUCGUCAGAGGAGAAGACCG